GUGGGGAAUAUUGCGCAAUGGGGGAAACCCUGACGCAGCGACGCCGUGUGAGGGAAGAAGGCUUUCGGGUCGUAAACCUCUGUCAGAAAGGAAGAACCUCCCAAGUCCGAAUAGGGCUUGGGACUGACGGUACUUUCAAAGGAAGCACCGGCUAACUCCGUGCCAGCAGCCGCGGUAAUACGGAGGGUGCAAGCGUUAAUCGGAAUCACUGGGCGUAAAGCGCGCGUAGGCCGCUUUGUAAGUCGGACGUGAAAGCCCUUGGCUCAACCGGGGAACUGCGUUCGAUACUGCGAGGCUUGAGUCCUGGAGAGGGUGGCGGAAUUCCGGGUGUAGGAGUGAAAUCCGUAGAUAUCCGGAGGAACACCGGUGGCGAAGGCGGCCACCUGGACAGGUACUGACGCUGAGGCGCGAAAGCGUGGGGAGCAAACAGGAUUAGAAACCCCAGUAGUCC
rnacentral:rRNA from 1 species